UAAGUACUCCCUCCGUUCGGAAAUACUUGUUCUAAAAAUUGGUUGUAUCUAGGCUUAACACAAGUCUAGAUACAACCAUUUUUAGGACAAGUAUUUCCGAACGGAGGGAGUAUUUG
rfam:Triticum aestivum genome assembly, contig: Triticum_aestivum_CS42_TGACv1_scaffold_001464_1AL